CUUUUCUUCUUCUUUUUUUUUUUUAGCAUCAUCUGGUCCUUGAAAGAAUUGUAUAUGCUUUUGUUGCAAGGUACUUUUUCUCUGAUCAUUUUUAACACUGGUUGGAUGCUGCGAUCAAACGUUCAAAAACUCAAAAGCCCAGGCAAACUGUCAUGAAUCCGGUUGUCAAAUGACAACUCCCAUUAUGCAUAUCCAACAUAUUUUCU